GGAUGUGAGGGCGAUCUGGCAGUGACAUCUAUCACCCCAUCAAUAGCCAGGGUCAAUUCUGCUGGUCUUGCUGGCUAGGUGGGUGUUCCAUUCCUCCUUCACUGCUCAAUGUGUGUCCCUCCUGAAACUGCACGCUCAAAGACAGACAAUGGCCAUCCCCGAGAUGGAGGGUAUAUGGGUAGCUGUGCUCCCCUGCUAGAACCUCCAAACAAUUAUUCCCCCUAUUUUAUUUGAUAAAAUAGAGUGAAAUUGAGAGGGGAGGGGGAAAUAGAGAGGAAGAGAUAACAUAGACAUCUGCCUACUUGUUUGAC
rnacentral:snRNA from 1 species